GGAGCCAUAGCUCAAUUGGUUAGAGCGCUGCCCUGUCACGGCAGAGGUCGCGGGUUCGAGUCCCGUUGGCUCCG
rnacentral:tRNA from 1 species